rnacentral:rRNA from 1 species
AGAUCAAUUUGUUGGUCGUGCCUCGGUACGUACUGGCACUUUUGAUUUCUCCCUUCUGAAGAACCAUGAUGUCAUUCAUUUGGUGUCAUGGGGAAUCAGGACCGUUACUUUGAAAAAAUUAGAGUGUUUAAAGCAGGCCCGUGCUUGAAUACAUUAGCAUGGAAUAAUGAAAUAGGACGUUUGAUUCUAUUUUGUUGGUUUCUAGGAUCGACGUAAUGAUUAAUAGGGAUAGUUGGG